GUAGGUGGCGAGCGUUGUCCGGAAUUAUUGGGCGUAAAGCGCGCGCAGGCGGUUCUUUAAGUCUGAUGUGAAAGCCCACGGCUCAACCGUGGAGAGUCAUUGGAAACUGGAGAACUUGAGUACAGAAGAGGAAAGCGGAAUUCCACGUGUAGCGGUGAAAUGCGUAGAGAUGUGGAGGAACACCAGUGGCGAAGGCGGCUUUCUGGUCUGUAACUGACGCUGAGGCGCGAAAGCGUGGGGGGAGCAAACAGGAUUAGAUACCCUGGUAGUCCACGCCGUAAACGAUGAGUGCUAAGUGUUAGGGGGUUUUCCGCCCCUUAGUGCUGCAGCUAACGCAUUAAGCACUCCGCCUGGGAGUACGGCCGCAAGGCUG
rnacentral:rRNA from 1 species